rnacentral:rRNA from 1 species
UACGUAGGGUGCGAGCGUUAAUCGGAAUUACUGGGCGUAAAGCGUGCGCAGGCGGUUCGGUAAGUUAGAUGUGAAAGCCCCGGGCUCAACCUGGGAACUGCAUUUGAAACUGGCGGGCUUGAGUGUGGCAGAGGGGGGUGGAAUUCCGCGUGUAGCAGUGAAGUGCGUAGAGAUGCGGAGGAACACCGAUGGCGAAGGCAGCCCCCUGGGCCAACACUGACGCUCAGGCACGAAAGCGUGGGGAGCAAACAGG